AGAAGGAUGGGACAAGGGGUAUGUCAUGAUGACUGGUGGAGGGACAAACUGGCAUAUCCUUCACAAUGUGACCUGACUGAACAGAUUUUCUGCUUUCUGGAAAAUUUUACAAGGUAUAAAUAAAAAGUCUGGAAAAACACUGAUGAAAUCAAACCCAGAAGUGAUUAAAAAUGAGGCUGCCAACUUUCUUUCUCACACAGGGCACUGCAGGUUUACCGUGAAGGCAGAGCCAGGGCCAACUUGUGCAUCCCAGGACUACACGAGGACAAAUCUCAAUAUAAAUGGGGAGCCACAACACACAGCAGCCCAUUUCUUAGAGGCAAAUUUGUGGCAACACCCCAAAGAGUUACCCCAGUCAUGCUUGAAACAUUCAGGAGAGUGUUCUGGUGUCCCACCCUGCAGUACUGAAACUGCUUUGCCUGCCCUUGGCACAACCCACUGUGCAGCUGUUGCUGCAGCUGUGUUGGGUGGUUUGAAAAAGCACGAGAGGAAUAUCUGUUCGUGGCACUCCAGCUGUAACACCAACCUGAAAAUAUUGAAUAUUGCCUCUAGGCAGUGACAAGACUGUAGCUGCUCUGCAGACCAGUGAGUGCUGGCAGAACAGGCACGAGCUGUGUCCAUAUCAUCUGCCAGCUGCUGGCUUCUUGUGUGUGGGAUGGAAGUGGAAUACACAUUCCCAGUAACAGGGGGGGUUGGUGGGCAGGGAUACAGUUUGGUAGGCCUUGAAGAUAAAAACCCAGGGGAAAGGAAGCUGCCACUAAAGGAUGCUCUGUGCAUGAAGUCAGCUGCAUUUGCUCCAAAGAGAGGGUAGCUGCAGAAAGAUUGUGCUGUAGUUUGGGCAUCUGCUGGUGAACUGGGGUGUCUACUCCUGAUUUGGGUUGCCCUCAUUCCUGGGCAGAAAGGUGCCAAGCAGUGUAAGGGACAAGAAGAGAGUGUGGGGAGCUUGUUCCAGCUGUGUGAACACUGGGCCCAUGUAAUCAGCUGCAUUAGAACUAACCCAAGUGCAUUUUCCAUUGCUUGUCCAUUGGCACUACUGACUUCUAAAUGUGCUGGAGUCUAAGUUGACCCCAUGAGCUUCUUCUAAUCAAUGGGCAGCUCUCCUCCAUGUCACAUGCCAGUUUUCAAAGAAACAGCAUCACUGAACAUCAUCAUAGAUGUCAUCUUCAUUCCCUUGUCCCUGGAGCCUUCUGACCAGGAGCAUGGCAAUUACUGGAUGCAGUUUAAUUUGCUUGCUUUGGCUUUUACUUCAUUUGGGCUGUGAAGCAGAGGAUUCUUACACAGCAAGGUUAGAUCAGUUCUGCUGACUCCAGGCUUGCUUGAAUUUCUAUAAUGUGCUAAUGCUGUAAACAGGAGUGGUUCUGUCUCACUGCAAACUCUUUGUCAGCUGUGCAAUACUGAGAUUUGUUUGGUAUUAAGUGGGUUACGGGUAUGAUGGGAUGUCACAUGCUGCUGAGGGGGUGGCAGGUUCCUUCCACAUCACCUGACCUGUAGCAGUUUUGGGUGUGACAAAGCAGGUUUGUUUGUUUGUUUGUUGGACAACAAAAAGGUUGUUCACUGAGUCACCCUCUCAAAGAAGUCAAAACUGAGGAUGUCCAAGCAGGUGUUUGCCUUGGAUCCCCAGUGGCACACUUCAAUCUGCACCUCUGUUUAAUAUGCUGGCUCUGGGCUUGUCAUUCUUGUUUUUUCUCUUGGAGUGUAUUUUCAGGAGUGCAUUCAGGCAAGGCACUGAAGUACCAAAUCUAAGGAACCAGGGCAAGCAGGAGGGUGCCUGCUGUGCAAAUAUUUUGGGCAGUGAUGGGGCAUCAGACUGAAAUUUCAACAGAGACAGAAGUGAAAGAGAACAGAGGAGAUUUAGAGAUCUUCCUUUCACAGACCUGCACCUGGUGAAGGGGAAAAAUCUCCAUCUCCUAGGGAUUAUUAGUAUGUUACUGCCCUGUGAUACUUCAUCCCUCUUGGGUUCAAGGCAAUGAUAAGUUCUCUAGAAGUGUAACAUAAAAUCCUGAGAUGUUCAUGGGGAGUGCUAAUUAAAAGAGACAGCAGACUUGCUCAGAGGAUGUGGCUGUCACAGAACACCACAGUUACUAUAGCUGAGCUUUCAAGCAGCUCUUCAACAGUCAAGCUGCUGGCAGAUGACACUUUCCUCCUUCCCAGCCUAAACUCUGCUGGAGAACUGGUGCUGGUUUUCAGUGUCAUGCUCCUUUCCCUUCAGUGAAUUCUGUUCUUGCCAUAAAGCAUUUUACUCAAGCUGAGUGUGGUCACUCACUCUUAGCAAAUCCUGACUCAUAGGGUGGUGUGGGUUGGAAGGGACCUUAAACAUCAUCUCAUUCCAACCCCCUUGCCAUGGCAGGGGCACCUCCCGCUGGAGCAGAGCUUCAUCCAACCUGGCUUUAAACACUGCCAGGGAUGGGUCAUCCAGAGUUCCAAUGCCAUACCAUCCUCACAGCAAAGAAUUUCUUCCUAAUACCGAGUCUAAACCUGCCCUCCAUCCGUUUGAAGCCAUGGCCCCAUGUCCUGUCACUCCACACACUUGUGAAUAGUCCCUGUUGGAGAAGAGGAACACUGAGAAAUGAAAAGAUGGGGCCUUUGCUCACAGUAGGUUACUUGCAUGAUGGAUGGGCUUGAGCUGGUGAAAACUGGGGGCUGCUGGUGUAAGCUUCUGCCUCCUCCAACUCCCUCAAACACCCAUUGUGCUCAGAAUUGCAAUUGCAGGUUCUCUUAGGGCUGGGCAGCUGACACCACAGAAACUGGAGCCGGUGCUGCUCCACCCCCACAUCUGAGGCUGGAACUGUGCUGCAUCUGCACUGGGCAGCCUCCCACCAUGGUUCUGUUGGUUCAGACACUGAGCUCAUGCUGAGGGAACCCUUGCCUCACCUGCCAGAGGAUGGGUUUUGCCAGGCUGAAUGACUGGGAGAUAACAGUCCUUGUGGUGGGGGAGCACAAGGCAGCCUCCCCAGAUCCUCUCCCCACUUCUGGUCUGAAGCCCCUGGCAGGCAGGGUGGGGGCUUUGGGUCAGUCUGUGGUUUCCACAUCCUUUGGCCUCUUUCAAUGCCAGACAAGCAGAAUAUUUCAGGGUUGGUGCAGGUACAGCAAAAAGCCCAGGUCCUGAGUACAGAACUAGAACUGAGGUGACAGAAGGGAAGGGGGCAGGGAGAGCUCAGGUUACAUCUUCUCCUGUACCUGGGGCUCUGUCCCUCUGGGGGAAUGGGGCAGGAAUGCAGCUGAGCUCCGUGGGGCUGAGACCUCACACCCACUUUCUCCAGUAACUCCUUAAAUCUAGCCCCAGCCUUUGGUCCUAAAGCAGCAUCUCCCCCACAGUCCCUUUCUCCCCUCCUGCCUAAGCUGUGUUUUAACACCGGCAUUCAUAUGUAAAGGUGGGAAAUAGGGCCCUUCCCACUUGCCAGGCUUUCUUGGCUCUUAGGCCUGUGUCCUGUUCUUUUCACUAGUGCUUCCCCACCAACUCGAGUUCCCUCCUGCUGGUUCCAGAAAUUAUAUAAAGUUGAAGUAAUUUGAUUUGGGGAACACCUAACAAGUUUCCAGGUAAAUUGUGGAUACUUCAAUGGAAAAUCUCUCUCUAAAUCAUAAAAAGUAUAAACUAUACAACAGUCCUGGCAAUUGCUGUCCUGGGUAUGCUCCCUGUUUAUUCUAUGUCAUAAAAAUCCAGCUUGGGUAUUUUGGGUGCUGUCUCCAAACCACAUUUUCCCUUCGUGCUCUCACCAUCCCUCCCCACUUUUUGGCACAUUGUGAAGGGGUUUUGGUGCCCCAACAGGCAGCCAAAUGUUAGCAAGCCCCUGGCUCUGGCUUUCAGCAGUCCUGCUAGCUGUGGUUAACUGAGCAUUGUUCAGGUCAAAGCCAUUGUACAUCUGGUCUGUGCACACCUUUAAAAAUGUGAACACUUUUUCCAGCUACUGACUGAAGGAUGCCAAGUGUUGGCCUUUUAUACACCAGAGUUUGUAAAAGAGAGAAAGCCAAGAUACCUGGAGCUUGCUAGUUUCCAGGAGGGAGACUAAUCCAAGAAAAUGUCUACUAUUAGGAGAAAAUUACUCUCUUGUUAUUUUUGAAGUACAUAAUGGUAAUAGUUUUCCAUUUACCCUCCUAGGUAGCCCAAGGCAUCCUGCUGCUGCUGAGCCAUCGGGGUUUUUUUCCAAAGAAAAGAAGGAACAAAGGAUGUGGUCCCUGAUAGCUGUCCCAGGGACUGACACAUUGCCCUGCCUGGUGGGGCAGGUACCCAGGAGGGAGAAGAAAUUCAGCUCAGUUCAGCUGCAGGUGAAAGCUGUAGCUUUCCAUGGAAACCACUGGAUUGAUUCUCUACCUUUGGCUACAGGCAUGCUCUCUAAGACAAGCCCUUAUUGGAACUGCAGUGGAAAAGCAGAAUGAUUUAAGGACUCUCAAAUUCUCAUUUCCUUCCAGUCUGAUCCAGUGAGGGACGACAGCUAAAACACCAGGCAGACCUCAGAAACAGAUACAGCUCAAUACAUAGCAAACAUUUUGGUUGGCUCGGAUAUAUUGAAGCAGUUACCUUGUGCUCUCUCUGUAAUCCUGGUUUGUUUGGGGUUUUUUACGUAAGUGCUUUUUUGAAAAGUGAGAAGUGGCAAGGGAGAGGACAGUUUAAUAAAGGUUUAAAAAGGUCCCAAUUCUUCAUUUCUUGAGAAGUGCUACCAUGCUGCUAUUCUUAAUGAAAGGUCAGGCAACUAAAUUGUCCCUGGGAUUCCACUUAAUUACACUCAGAGAUGGAAACUUUGUUGUCACAGACUAAUAAACCAGCAGAUGGCUUUAAGGAAGUCGGUAAGGUGGCAGUUUUAAAUAGAAAACUGCUUGCUUAAAAAUAGAAAAGGCAGUUGAUUUGAGGGAGAUGUUCUGUAAGCAGCAUGUCACUUCUCUGCUGCAGGGCAAGAGAGAUGGUUUUUAGCAGCAUUAGAAAUGUUGAGUUCAUUGUCAGUGUUCAUCCUCUAAGCCCCCAGCUGAAGGGCCUCUAGCUGGAGAUUUCUUACUGAGAAAUCUUCUAGUCUGAUACUCGGCCUGUGAUAACUUGGGUGAUUUUUCUUAAUGCUUGCAAAGCCAUUUAUCCAGGGAUGUAAUUGAAAUCUGGAGAUGCCACAGAACACUGUGACUGUACUGAGACCCAGGCUUGAAAUGUGAAAUAAAUAAAGAUGCUUAAUGGUUUACACCCUUAA